AUGGCCGACGAUGGGUCAAAGUGUAGUAUAUGUUCUUAUCGGCUUAAUAUCUGAUACGGGUCGUAUUUGGCCCCAAGAUAUUAAACUAUUUUUGCAAGCUGGCGUAGUGCAUGAAGCCUGCUUCACCUCCGCCGCGGGUCGGCCCGAUAUUGCACUAUCUUCGGGAUUUUCGGUCUACGCACA
rnacentral:snRNA from 1 species